rnacentral:rRNA from 1 species
AACGAACGCUGGCGGCAUGCCUAACACAUGCAAGUCGAACGAAGCCUUCGGGCUUAGUGGCGCACGGGUGCGUAACGCGUGGGGAUCUGCCCUUUGGUUCGGAAUAACAGUUGGAAACGACUGCUAAUACCGGAUGAUGACGAAAGUCCAAAGAUUUAUCGCCAGAGGAUGAGCCCGCGUAGGAUUAGCUAGUUGGUGUGGUAAAGGCGCACCAAGGCGACGAUCCUUAGCUGGUCUGAGAGGAUGAUCAGCCACACUGGGACUGAGACACGGCCCAGACUCCUACGGGAGGCAGCAGUGGGGAAUAUUGGACAAUGGGCGAAAGCCUGAUCCAGCAAUGCCGCGUGAGUGAUGAAGGCCCUAGGGUUGUAAAGCUCUUUUACCCGGGGUGAUAAUGACAGUACCGGGAGAAUAAGCCCCGGCUAACUCCGUGCCAGCCGCCGCCAUAA